rnacentral:rRNA from 1 species
UACGGAGGGUGCAAGCGUUAUUCGGAUUUAUUGGGCGUAAAGGGCGUGUAGGUGGUCUGAUAAGUCAGGUGUGAAAGCCCCUGGCUCAACCAGGGAAGUGCAUUUGAAACUAUCAGACUUGAGUACGGGAGGGGGAAGUGGAAUUCCUGGUGUAGAGGUGAAAUUCGUAGAUAUCAGGAGGAAUACCGGUGGCGAAGGCGACUUCCUGGACCGAUACUGACACUGAGACGCGAAAGCGUGGGGAGCAAACAGGAUUAGAUACCCUGGUAGUCCACGCCGUAAACGAUGGGCACUAGGUGUAGCGGGUAUUGACCCCUGCUGUGCCGAAGCUAACGCAUUAAGUGCCCCGCCUGGGGAGUACGACCGCAAGGUUA